GAGUUUGAUCUUGGCUCAGGAUGAACGCUAGCUACAGGCUUAACACAUGCAAGUCGAGGGGCAGCAUCAUCAAAGCUUGCUUUGAUGGAUGGCGACCGGCGCACGGGUGAGUAACACGUAUCCAACCUGCCGACAACACUGGGAUAGCCUUUCGAAAGAAAGAUUAAUACCGGAUGGCAUAGUUUUCCCGCAUGGGAUGACUAUUAAAGAAUUUCGGUUGUCGAUGGGGAUGCGUUCCAUUAGGCAGUUGGCGGGUAACGGCCCACCAAACUACGAUGGAUAGGGGUUCUGAGAGGAAGGUCCCCCCA
rnacentral:rRNA from 1 species